CUGGCAGUGGAUCAAUAGCCACUGUCUCUAUGGUCAAAAAGAUCCUGAUCCACUUAUCACCUGAACUGAGGCUACUGUUCCUCCACCCACAGAGAAGAUACGACACAACCUAAAACUCAGAGCAACUGAGAGGAUAAACAACAUAUUGGAAGGCAUCAGCAGAGUGAGCAAUGUGGUGGUAAGGCUGUGACCUCCAAUCCCAAACCAGACUAU